rnacentral:lncRNA from 1 species
UUGGCGGCGGGUGCCAUGCGUCUGGAGCUUCACAUUCUCUGCCCCCCACCCACCGCGCCGGCGCUCCCUUGUCACGCCUCGGGAAGCGCGCACCUGCCAAGCAGGAUGAAUAAUCUGAUAUCAUGUGAAAUGAGGAAAUAAGAAGCUUUCUGCUGACUUCAUUUUGACCCAGGGUCCAAAAGGUGAUGUAAUCCUGUGGCAAGAAGAUUCAAAACUGUGGACUAUCUUGCAAAAAAUACAAGAAGAUAUUGAAAGUUUUCAUGAGUGCCUACCACCUAAUCUCAAACACUAUCAUUCAUAUGUGCCUCAUUGAGCAAAUCUUUAAUGAGGAUCUAUAUGCCAGCAAUAUCUUUUGCUUGGGAGCAGAAACAGAAAGUACAUGAUGGACUUCAUUGAAGGAUGGAGAUUUGGAAGACAUGAAUGGAUGAAGAACCAAUAGAGAUGGGGUUUCACCAUGUUGCCCAGGCUGGUCUCAAACUCCUGAGCUCAGGCCAUCUGCCCGCCUCGGCCUCCCAAAGUGCUAGGAUUACAGGUGCCUGCUUCCCCUUCACCUUCCACCAUGAUUGUAAGUUUCCUGAGGCCUCCCCAGACAUGUGGAACUGUGAGUCAAUUAAAUCUCUUUUCUUUAUAAAUUA